UGUGGUAGUAGUGUUAGGGGAAGACAAAAUAGAGGAAGAAUAAGAGUCCCUGAUGAAAUCAGAGCCACAUUGUGGACCAUGUCAUAAACCAUGGUGUUACAAUGGAAGAGGCUGGUCAGAGAGUACAGCCUAAUGUAAACAGGUCCACAGUGUUAUAAACCAUGGUGUUAUAAUGGAAGAGGCUGGUCAGAGAGUACAGCCUAAUGUAAACAGGUCCACAGUGUUAUAAACCAUGGUGUUAUAAUGGAAGAGGCUGGUCAGAGAGUACAGCCUAAUGUAAACAGGUCCACAGUGUUAUAAACCAUGGUGUUAUAAUGGAAGAGGCUGGUCAGAGAGUACAGCCUAAUGUAAACAGGUCCACAGUGUUAUAAACCAUGGUGUUAUAAUGGAAGAGGCUGGUCAGAGAGUACAGCCUAAUGUAAACAGGUCCACAGUGUUAUAAACCAUGGUGUUAUAAUGGAAGAGGCUGGUCAGAGAGUACAGCCUAAUGUAAACAGGUCCACAGUGUUAUAAACCAUGGUGUUACAAUGGAAGAGGCUGGUCAGAGAGUACAGCCUAAUGUAAACAGGUCCACAGUGUUAUAAACCAUGGUGUUAUAAUGGAAGAGACUGGUCAGAGAGUACAGCCUAAUGUAAACAGGUCCACAGUGUUAUAAACCAUGGUGUUAUAAUGGAAGAGGCUGGUCAGAGAGUACAGCCUAAUGUAAACAGGUCCACAGUGUUAUAAACCAUGGUGUUACAAUGGAAGAGGCUGGUCAGAGAGUACAGCCUAAUGUAAACAGGUCCACAGUGUUAUAAACCAUGGUGUUAUAAUGGAAGAGACUGGUCAGAGAGUACAGCCUAAUGUAAACAGGUCCACAGUGUUAUAAACCAUGGUGUUAUAAUGGAAGAGGCUGGUCAGAGAGUACAGCCUAAUGUAAACAGGUCCACAGUGUCAUAAACCAUGGUGUUAUAAUGGAAGAGGCUGGUCGGAGAGUACAGCCUAAUGUAAACAGGUCCACAGUGUCAUAAACCAUGGUGUUAUAAUGGAAGAGGCUGGUCAGAGAGUACAGCCUAAUGUAAACAGGUCCACAGUGUCAUAAACCAUGGUGUUAAUUAAAAUGGAAGAGGCUGGUCAGAGAGUACAGCCUAAUGUUAACAGGUCCACAGUGUUAUAAACCAUGGUGUUAUAAUGGAAGAGGCUGGUCAGAGAGUACAGCCUAAUGAUAACAGGUCCAAAGUGUUAUAAACCAUGGUGUUAUAAUGGAAGAGGCUGGUCAGAGAGUACAGCCUAAUGUAAACAGGUCCACAGUGUCAUAAACCAUGUUGUUACAAUGGAAGAGACUGGUC